rnacentral:rRNA from 1 species
AUGGAGGUAAUCAUUUCUGCGGUUCUUGGUGAUCUUGUCGGCAGAGUUAUAUCCUUUGUGGUCGAGAAGCGUCACGAGCAGACAACCUCUGAGGAGGAUCUGCAGAGGUUGCGUCAGCUGCUUCUGAGGAUAAGUGCUGUUGUCGAGGAGGCCGAGGGGCGGUGUGUCACAAACCGAGGGAUGAUACAUCAGGCUAGCACGAUGAGAGAGCAGACGUUCAGAGGGUACUACCUUCUCGAUGCCUUCAGGUGCAGAGAGAAGAAGACCGGCGAUGAGGAGGUGAGUCUCUGCUCGUUCGUUCAAUCCAAAUUUAAUCCGGCUAAGCGCUUUCGCCGCCUUUCUAGUGACACUCAAAUUGGGAGCAUGGAAUUUGGUAGAGACGUCAGUAAGGAGUUGAAACAUGUUGUUCUUGUCCUGGAAAGCAUGGUUGCUGAUAUGAAGGAGUUUGUUAUAUUUCUGAUGAGCUACCCUCGCAUGUACCGCCAACCUUAUGGUGCAUAUUUAUUUUUUGACAAGUGUAUGUUGGCCGCCAAAUGGAGAGGGAACAAGCCAUCAGCUUCUUGCUACAAGCUGAUCCUCUAG